rnacentral:rRNA from 1 species
AUUGAACGCUGGCGGUAUGCUUUACACAUGCAAGUCGAACGGCAGCACGGGGCAACCUGGUGGCGAGUGGCGAACGGGUGAGUAAUACAUCGGAACGUGCCCAGUCGUGGGGGAUAACGUAGCGAAAGUUACGCUAAUACCGCAUACGAUCUAAGGAUGAAAGCGGGGGAUCGCAAGACCUCGCGCGAUUGGAGCGGCCGAUGUCAGAUUAGGUAGUUGGUGGGGUAAAGGCCCACCAAGCCGACGAUCUGUAGCUGGGCUGAGAGGACGACCAGCCACACUGGGACUGAGACACGGCCCAGACUCCUACGGGAGGCAGCAGUGGGGAAUUUUGGACAAUGGGCGCAAGCCUGAUCCAGCCAUUCCGCGUGCAGGAUGAAGGCCUUCGGGUUGUAAACUGCUUUUGUACGGAGCGAAAAGGCUCUCUCUAAUACAGGGGGCUCAUGACGGUACCGUAAGAAUAAGCACCGGCUAACUACGUGCCAGCAGCCGCCGUAA